CUGGCGGCAUGCCUUACACAUGCAAGUCKAACGGCAGCACGGGAGCAAUCCUGGUGGCGAGUGGCGAACGGGUGAGUAAUACAUCGGAACGUGCCCAGUAGUGGGGGAUAACCCGGCGAAAGCCGGACUAAUACCGCAUACGACCUACGGGUGAAAGCAGGGGAUCGCAAGACCUUGCGCUAUCGGAGCGGCCGAUGUCAGAUUAGCUUGUUGGCGGGGUAAAAGCCCACCAAGGCGACGAUCUGUAGCUGGUCUGAGAGGACGACCAGCCACACUGGGACUGAGACACGGCCCAGACUCCUACGGGAGGCAGCAGUGGGGAAUUUUGGACAAUGGGCGCAAGCCUGAUCCAGCCAUGCCGCGUGCGGGAAGAAGGCCUUCGGGUUGUAAACCGCUUUUGUCAGGGAAGAAACGCUCCGGGCUAAUACCCUGGAGUAAUGACGGUACCUGAAGAAUAAGCACCGGCUAACUACGUGCCAGCAGCCGCGGUAAU
rnacentral:rRNA from 1 species